rnacentral:rRNA from 1 species
UGCAUAUCAAAAAGCGGAGGAAAAGAAACCAACAGGGAUUGCCUCAGUAACGGCGAGUGAAGCGGCAACAGCUCAAAUUUGAAAUCUGGCCUCUUCGGGGUCCGAGUUGUAAUUUGUAGAGGAUGUUUCGGGUACCGCCUCGGUCUAAAUUUCUUGGAACAGAAUGUCAGAGAGGGUGAGAAUCCCGUCUUGGACCGGCGGUAGGGCCCAUGUGAAACUCCUUCGACGAGUCGAGUUGUUUGGGAAUGCAGCUCAAAAUGGGUGGUAAAUUUCAUCUAAAGCUAAAUAUUGGCCAGAGACCGAUAGCGCACAAGUAGAGUGAUCGAAAGAUGAAAAGAACUUUGAAAAGAGAGUUAAACAGUAUGUGAAAUUGUUGAAAGGGAAGCGCUUGCAACCAGACUUGAGCGCGGCGGUUCCCCCUUCCUUCUGGUUGGGUUACUCCGCCGUGUCCAGGCCAACAUCGGUUCUGGGGGUCGGUUAAAGGCUUGGGGAAUGUAUCUACUCCUUCGGGGGUAGACUUAUAGCCCCAGGUGUCAUGCGACCUCCCGGGACCGAGGAACGCGCUUCGGCUCGGAUGUUGGCGUAAUGGUUGUCAGCGACCCGUCUUGAAACACGGACCA